rnacentral:rRNA from 1 species
GGCUCAGGAUGAACGCUAGCUACAGGCUUAACACAUGCAAGUCGAGGGGAAACGACAUCGAAAGCUUGCUUUUGAUGGGCGUCGACCGGCGCACGGGUGAGUAACGCGUAUCCAACCUGCCCACCACUUGGGGAUAACCUUGCGAAAGUAAGACUAAUACCCAAUGACGUCUCUAGAAGACAUCUGAAAGAGAUUAAAGAUUUAUCGGUGAUGGAUGGGGAUGCGUCUGAUUAGCUUGUUGGCGGGGUAACGGCCCACCAAGGCGACGAUCAGUAGGGGGUUCUGAGAGGAAGGUCCCCCACAUUGGAACUGAGACACGGUCCAAACUCCUACGGGAGGCAGCAGUGAGGAAUAUUGGUCAAUGGACGAGAGUCUGAACCAGCCAAGUAGCGUGCAGGAUGACGGCCCUAUGGGUUGUAAACUGCUUUUAUAAGGGAAUAAAGUGAGUCUCGUGAGAUUUUUUGCAUGUACCUUAUGAAUAAGGACCGGCUAAUUCCGUG